UACAGAGGUCUCAAGCGUUGUUCGGAUUCAUUGGGCGUAAAGGGUGCGUAGGUGGUGACGCAAGUCUGGUGUGAAAUCUCGGAGCUUAACUCCGAAAUUGCACCGGAUACUGCGUAACUCGAGGACUGUAGAGGAGAUCGGAAUUCACGGUGUAGCAGUGAAAUGCGUAGAUAUCGUGAAGAAGACCAGUUGCGAAGGCGGAUCUCUGGGCAGUUCCUGACACUGAGGCACGAAGGCCAGGGGAGCAAACGGG
rnacentral:rRNA from 1 species